rnacentral:SRP_RNA from 1 species
GCUGGGCGUGGUGGUGCACGCCUGUAGUCCCAGCUACUCAGGAAGCUGAGGUGGGAGGAUCACUUGAGCCUGGGAGGUUGAGGCUACAGUGAGCCAUGAUUGUGCCAUUGUACUCCAGCCUGGGUGACGGAGUGAGACCCUGUCUCAA